UACAGAGGUCUCAAGCGUUGUUCGGAUUCAUUGGGCGUAAAGGGUGUGUAGGUGGCGCCGUAAGUCGGGUGUGAAAUUUCGGAGCUUAACUCCGAAACUGCAUUCGAUACUGCGGUGCUUGAGGACUGGAGAGGAGACUGGAAUUCAUGGUGUGGCAGUGAAAUGCGUAGAUAUCGUGAGGAAGACCAGUGGCGAAGGCGGGUCUCUGGACAGUUCCUGACGCUGAGGCGCGAAGGCCAGGGGAGCAAACGGG
rnacentral:rRNA from 1 species